AGAACGAACGCUGGCGGCAUGCCUAACACAUGCAAGUCGAACGUGAUCCGGGGCUUGCUCCGGUGAAAGUGGCGGACGGGUGAGUAACGCGUGGGAACCUGCCCAGUGGUCGGGGAUAACUGCGGGAAACUGCAGCUAAUACCCGGUAAGCCCUACGGGGGAAAGAUUUAUCGCCAUUGGAGGGGCCCGCGUCGGAUUAGGUAGUUGGUGGGGUAAAGGCCUACCAAGCCUUCGAUCCGUAGCUGGUCUGAGAGGAUGAUCAGCCACACUGGGACUGAGAUACGGCCCAGACUCCUACGGGAGGCAGCAGUGGGGAAUAUUGGACAAUGGGCGCAAGCCUGAUCCAGCAAUGCCGCGUGAGUGAAGAAGGCCUUAGGGUUGUAAAGCUCUUUCGGCGGGACGAUGAUGACGGUACCCGCAGAAGAAGCCCCGGCUAACUCCGUGCCAGCAGCCGC
rnacentral:rRNA from 1 species